UACGUAGGGUGCGAGCGUUGUUCGGAAUCACUGGGCGUAAAGGGCGCGUAGGCGGUCUUAUAAGUCAGAUGUGAAAGCCCACGGCUUAACUGUGGAAGAGCAUUUGAAACUGCAAGACUUGAGUACCAGAGGGGAAGGUGGAAUUCCGCGUGUAGCAGUGAAAUGCGUAGAUAUGCGGAGGAACACCAAUGGCGAAGGCAAUCCCCUGGGCCUGUACUGACGCUCAUGCACGAAAGCGUGGGGAGCAAACAGGAUUAGAAACCCCUGUAGU
rnacentral:rRNA from 1 species